rnacentral:rRNA from 1 species
UACGUAGGGGGCAAGCGUUGUCCGGAUUUAUUGGGCGUAAAGAGCGUGUAGGCGGCCAAGCAGGUCAGCUGUGAAAACUCGAGGCUCAACCUCGAGACGUCGGUUGAAACCGCUUGGCUAGAGUCCGGAAGAGGAGAGUGGAAUUCCCGGUGUAGCGGUGAAAUGCGCAGAUAUCGGGAAGAACACCCGUGGCGAAGGCGGCUCUCUGGGACGGUACUGACGCUGAGACGCGAAAGCGCGGGGAGCGAACAGG